rnacentral:rRNA from 1 species
CACGUAGGGCGCGAGCGUUGUCCGGAAUUACUGGGCGUAAAGCGCACGCAGGCGGUCUGCUAAGUUUGGAGUGACAGUUGGUGGCUUAACUGCCAAAGUGCUUCGAAACUGACAGACUUGAGGGCUUACAGAGGGACACGGAAUUCCGGGUGGAGUGGUGAAAUGCGUAGAGAUCCGGAGGAACACCAAAGGCGAAGGCAGUGUCCUGGGGAGUACCUGACGCUCGAGGUGCGAAAGCCAGGGAGCGAACGGG